rfam:Lactobacillus dextrinicus DSM 20335 NODE_57, whole genome shotgun sequence.
GGCCCGUUGGUCAAGUGGUUAAGACACUGCCCUUUCACGGCGGUAACAUGGGUUCAAAUCCCGUACGGGUCA